rnacentral:rRNA from 1 species
GAUGAACGCUGGCGGCGUGCCUAAUACAUGCAAGUAGAACGCUGAAGGAAGGAGCUUGCUCUUUCCGGAUGAGUUGCGAACGGGUGAGUAACGCGUAGGUAACCUGCCUGGUAGCGGGGGAUAACUAUUGGAAACGAUAGCUAAUACCGCAUAACAGUAGAUGUUGCAUGACAACUAUUUGAAAGGGGCAAUUGCUCCACUACCAGAUGGACCUGCGUUGUAUUAGCUAGUUGGUGAGGUAACGGCUCACCAAGGCGACGAUACAUAGCCGACCUGAGAGGGUGAUCGGCCAAACUGGGACUGAGACACGGCCCAGACUCCUACGGGAGGCAGCAGUAGGGAAUCUUCGGCAAUGGACGGAAGUCUGACCGAGCAACGCCGCGUGAGUGAAGAAGGGUUUCGGAUCGUAAAGCUCUGUUGUAAGAGAAGAACGAGUGUGAGAGUGGAAAGUUCACACUGUGACGGUAUCUUACCAGAAAGGGACGGCUAACUACGUG